CUGGACCUAAGACCAUAAUCCAGCUUCCAUUGGGUAGACCUUUCCUAUUCCAGAGAGUAUAGCAGGAUAGCUCUUACAAGAGCUAGUGAUUAUUACCCAAGGGAGUAUAAGAGUAUAGAAAUAUAGCUGUCCCCUCCACACAUGAGACAAGGCUCUAUGUUGAGGGUGAAGAUGAACUGGUUUAAUGGGAGCCACAUGCAGCCUUAUAUGCAAAUCUCCAUGCAAAGGGUUUCCGGAUACAUAUUCCAGGGGCAAUUCCCGCUGGGCCUGAGAGGAGACAACAGUAAAACAUACACAUAAUUAAAUUGGCUCUCAGGUCCAGGACACUCCCACACGAAACAGGGUAACCCCUCCCCUGUGCCUGAGAGAUAAUUGAGUCAGGAACUGUACUAAACUCAAUUAUCUCCAGGCACAGAAAACAUACAUUUUAACAACAUCCCGAAAGUACCCCCAAAACUCAUGGAAUCCCCACAAAAGUAAUAUCCCCUGAUAGCGCCUAUCUGGGGGACCAACAUAUCCAAAAAUCACUCAGAUCGGUCCAGGGGUCCGGGAUUUCCAUGGAAGUCAUUAUUUGACCGACAGCACACAAGGCUCCUGCCCAAAACAGUUCCAGAGAAUCAGGGCUUGUGGCUGGUCUAGUUCAGUAGUUUUAAAACCGAACAAAAUACCGGACAUAGUCAAUAGUCUUACCCUGGAGCUUGUUCCCCUCAUCUAGACGAACCAUUCCACUGAACAGUGCCCUUCCACAAUGUACAGAACUGAAUGUAGGUGAUGAUGGAAGUCCAGCAGUGUUCGGGAGUUUGUGUCUGAAAACAGUUCCAUAAACUCAAAGACCAAACACCGCUGCCUGCGUUCGCCGGAACAAGAUGGCCACAUGUUCGGCCAUACGAAUGGCGGCCACCCAGAUGAACAAUUAGAGCACUGCAGUUAGAAUCGUUACCGAGUGUUAAUAGGGUUUAACAAGCUCCUGGGUGUUUCGUGCUCCUGUUCGGUUCCUAAACCAAAUAUAAAAUCCCACAAAUUAAGUCUGUUAACAUAUGUUUUUAAAGGACCCAUAGUCUUUUGGCAGGAGGCUGGCAAGAAGGCCCCUUCAAGAACACGUGGCAGAGGCAUUUCUGCCACAACCCUGAAGUAAUGAUAUUAAUUGACUUACUAAUAUUAAUAUAUCAACCUAAACUUUUGAUGUGAAGUGUUGCGGCAUCAAUGCUGCAGACAGCAUGUAUAAGCGUCAAAAUGGUGACAUGCACUCGAUACUCUUUAUGAAUUCAGGUUACUCUCUACCCACAGGAAAUAACCUCCCCCAUUAUACAGCAACUAUAAAAUCCCAGAGAGCACUAUUUCUGGUAUUCAAUUAUACAGACACCUUUGUUGAAGAAUCCCAGUAUCCUUUCCUGAUUGGUUCUUGCACUCCUGGUUCUGUUCCUUACCUUAUUGGCUAUUUUGACUCAGAAAGUGUUACUAAUGCAGCUUUGCUGCUUGCCCUGACCCACAGGCUUUUUGACUUUAAUUCUGGAUUUGACACUUCAGGAUCCCCUUACUUUACUUGAUUCCUUAAUAAAGCCCCAAUGCCAUCACUAACUUUUAAGGAACGUGUUCCUAACAUCAGGCCCUCCAAGGGGUUUUGUGUUAUCUAUAUGCAGGGCCGGCCCGUCCAUAGACCGCGCUGGAGUCAUGGCUCCAGACAGCACUCUGACAAGGACGGCAUUUUGCCGCCCCUGUCAGAAACUAAAACAGGAUUUCCCAACCCAUGGCUGCAGUGCAGCAGCACCACACGGGUUGUGAACCUGUGUGAGGAUCCAUCGGGUAGCCCGCGCCUUAGGGCCACCCAAUGGACAUAUGCAAUGAAGGGCCCGGUCGUACGCUGUGGCGCUUUAACAAGCCCCUUCUAUCCUGCACAGAGAGCUGGGAGUAGGUGACAUCCCCAGCACACACAGACAUAUACUAUAUCCCCAGCAUAUACACAGACAUGCUACAUUCCCAGCACACACAGACAAAGACACAUACUACAUGCCCAGCACACACACAGAAACACUACAUCCCCAGCACACACAGACAUAUACUACAUCCCCAGCAUACACACAGACACGCUACAUUCCCAGCACACACAGACAUAUACUAUAUCCCUAGCACACACACACAGACACAUACUACAUUCCCAGCACAGAGACAGACACUACAUCCCCAACACACACACAGGCACACACUUCAUCCCCAACACACGCAGACACACUACAUCCCCAGAACACAUGCAGACACCCAUUUCAUCCCCAGCACACCCACAUACUACAUCCCCAGCACACACAGACACAUACUAUAUCCCCAGCAUAUACACAGACACGCUACAUUCCCAGCACACACAGACAUAUACUACAUCCCCAACACACACACAGACACACUACAUCCCCAGCACACACACAGACACCCAUUUCAUCCCCAGCACACACACAGACACCCAUUUCAUCCCCAGUACACCCACAUAGAGACCAUUGCAGAAGCAUAUAUGUUUUGGGUUUUUUUUUGGGGGUGGAGGUCAGCAUUUCAUACUUCGAUCCAGGCAGCACAAUGUCUUGGGCUAGUCCUGUCUAUCUGCAUAUGGGUUCCAGUUUCCCCGGUCAUGAUCAGACCCCCUUUUGUUAGGGAAAUUGGACUCACAUACUGACAUUCAUAUACACACUCAUGGACCCAUACAUACGCAUACAUAAACACUCAUACACUCAUACACAUAGAUAUGUUCAUACAC